rnacentral:rRNA from 1 species
AUUGAACGCUGGCGGCAGGCCUAACACAUGCAAGUCGAGCGGAUGAAGGGAGCUUGCUCCUGGAUUCAGCGGCGGACGGGUGAGUAAUGCCUAGGAAUCUGCCUGGUAGUGGGGGAUAACGUCCGGAAACGGGCGCUAAUACCGCAUACGUCCUGAGGGAGAAAGUGGGGGAUCUUCGGACCUCACGCUAUCAGAUGAGCCUAGGUCGGAUUAGCUAGUUGGUGGGGUAAAGGCCUACCAAGGCGACGAUCCGUAACUGGUCUGAGAGGAUGAUCAGUCACACUGGAACUGAGACACGGUCCAGACUCCUACGGGAGGCAGCAGUGGGGAAUAUUGGACAAUGGGCGAAAGCCUGAUCCAGCCAUGCCGCGUGUGUGAAGAAGGUCUUCGGAUUGUAAAGCACUUUAAGUUGGGAGGAAGGGC